CCUAACAAAAUCAGCACCCAUGGUUAGUAGUGCUAGUAUGCAUACAUGGGAGCAUGGAUGGGCAUGCUUAAUCUACUUUCACUUUGUGAUGCAGUCAGCUUGGGCUAUUAUGUUCUCAAUCAGCACCUCAAUUUUCCGCGUUUUCUUCUUUUCUUUCCGUUAUCCUUGAAAGAGUUGGCAGAGGGGUAAUAGUGUAGGUCAUGGCCUAGGGUGAUGACUUGCUUUGUGGCUCACUCUGUUUUACUGGUUCAAACCAUUUUUCUACAUGGACAAAGCUAUAGCAGAGGUUGAAGAUGUGCGUGGAAUUUCGCCCCUGUUUCUAGUUCUAAUGAAUCAUAACUAGGUUAUCUAACUGAAAAAAGAGCAUACUUAGUCAAAUCAGUAAUCGGGCGAGGAGAUCCCUAAUUCCUUUUCCUAUAUUUCCUGUUCUCCCCCUAUCAAGACCAUUCCAAAUAUCUUAAGAGAAAACAUAAAGAAAUACUUACAGAUAGUACCUUGUAAACAGGACCAAAUCCACCCUCUCCAAGUUUAUUUUCAAAGGAAAAGUUAUUUGUAGCCUCUUUGAUCUCAGCAAAACUGAAUACUCGCAGAUUAGGAGCAUUACUGUUACAAUUUUCAACAUCUGAUGAUUUGCUUCCUACUUCAUGUAGUGAUAUUUUACCUAAAUUCUUGGUCCCUGUAACCAGAAUGGGAAAAUUUUGAUAAAACAUUAGUCUCUGCACAUCAUAUAAAAUGGGAAAAAUGUUCUCAUAGUUACGGUUAACUAAAGUUACCUAUCGCUUUGAGUACUCUGCUUCGUGAGUAACAACACAUUAUGGAGCCUGCUACAAGAAUAAGUACAGCAAUUGGAACCAGAAUUUUUACCAAUAAUUCCUGCUUCUUGUGAUGAUCUUUGUCAUCAUCUUGAGCUGUAACAGAAUUGAUCACAUUAAUGGGAAUGAACCAUGAAGAGAUCUUUACCAUCUGCUCUUAUAGUUUCCAAGAUGAUUGUAAUGGGAAAAAUACAAGGAUGUCUUAUUGUUGUUCUCUUUACUCAAAAGGUUACUGCAUUAAGAGAAGCAUCUUAUGAGCAAACCAUGAAGAUCAAUUUUGCCACCCACCAAACCAACACAGACUCUGGUUCAAGUUUCAGGUUGGUCCCUUAAUACCUACUUGACCCAUUAAUAGAAAGAGAUGAAAAUGACGAAUAAAUCAGAAACCAUUACUAACCUGCCUGAGAAAGCGCCCAAUUGUCGUCGUUGCUAACCUGGAACACAUUGUAACCAAGUAGCUUCUUCUCCUUGGCAUAAGAAAUUUUAGCUUCUUCUCCUAACAAAACCCAACAUUACAAUUUUGUGGAAUUUUCGAUUUUGACUUCCCCAUCGGGCUAAGACAAGCAUUGACUUUGUGCUUUAGGCAUUGACCAUGAGAUUAAAUAUGCCACUCCUUUUCAAAUGGGAUUAGCGAGUAAAAGGCCUAGAGCCGAAUGUGAUCUUAAAAACCAUUGCAUUCCUGAAAAACAUCUCAAUAUCAUAUUUGUCUAGGAGAAAAACAAAAAUUGUAUUUUCAUUAUGGUCUUAUAAAACACUGAUUACUUAACUAUGUUCAUAUCACGGGAAAAGCAAAAGGGGCGAUAGGUCGGGUUUUACUCCAAUGACUUGAAAUGCGUUUGUGGACGAUGCUCUCUUCAUUCAUUUGUGAGUUUUCCCAUGUGUUAAAAUUUAGUGUUCAUAAUUGUUGUAAUAUGUACAUGAUUAACAUAAAUGCCUCUAUUGGGGUUCACUGAGCCACUCAAACUCAGAACCUUUCUGCCUCAGUACUGAAGUUCUCAGCGAGGCAAGACUUGGGAGAUUGUUGUAACAUUGACUGAACCAAUUUCAUGGCCUGAUGCAGAUUUACCGUCUGCCUCAACUUCAUCUCUUUUGGCUGCAAAGGCAGGCCUUCUAGGAGUAGCAAUGGCUGCAGUUUCGUUUUUGAUCAUCGAAUCGACUUCUAACACGGACGGUCUAUCGGCUGGAUUUUCCUGGACGCAUAGCAGUGCUACUUGCAUGCAUCGUGUCAGUUUACACGAAGAACAUGCAUCAUCCAGUGAUGGAUCCAUGAACUCCAUGCUCUUACCAUCUUUCCAUAGCUCAUAUGCCUGAAAUAAUUUAAUGUUAAUUAGCAAGCCAUGUUGUAGAGCAUAUACAGAAUUUGAAAUCAAAAUGAAGUGAGGGAAGUCUCAAAGUAACUUACAUAUUCAAGAAGGUGUAAAUUUUGAUCCAAACCAUAGAAACAUGUGUUCUUCUUGCCACUGAUAAUUUGUAAUAAGAGAACUCCAAAGCUAUAAACAUCAGACUUCACAGAAUAGGUACCCUUUUGCACGUAUUCGGGGGAGACAUAGCCACUGCAUUGAAUGAACAAAUGGGAUUGUCUGAAUUUUUCCCAGAAUUUGAGGGGAAAAAUCGAUUUUGAAAGGAAGUUUUACUUACUAUGUCCCAACAAUUCGGCCGGUGUUAGCUUCAUUCUCAUCUUUUUGGAAAAUUCUAGCUAUCCCAAAAUCUGCAAUCUUUGGCUUCAUUUCACCGUCUAGUAAAAUGUUGCUAGCCUUUAAAUCUCUGUGAAUUAUCCUUAGUCUUGAGUACUCCUGUAGAUAUAGAAGCCCCUGAGUGAUCCCUUCAAUGAUGUGUAUGCGUUUUCCCCAAUCUAAGAGUACCUGUCCCUCUGGGUCUACAUCAGAUGGAUUUAUGAGCAAAUAGUUAUAUUUCUUAUCUAAACAAUAAAAUGAAUCAACAUUGGCUUCUUUCAGGCUUAAGGGUAGUUUAGCCCCUCAUAUCAGAACUUGUCUUUAUAGGCUGAGAACUUCCAUCCAAUUUCUAAAAUGAGAAACAGAUGGGUGUUCCUGAAUUGACCUUAUUCCUUGGAUCCUUUGGUUUGCCAAUGAGAUGAAUUGUGCAUGGAGCAGAGAGUGAUCAUCAAAAUGGUAGGAAAGUCUCAUGCUGUUUGGGGGAAGGCAACCCCUGCAGUAAGCAAAGCUGCCAGGAUGCAUAAGAUGAGUAGGUCUUUUGGGGAAUGUUUUCAAAAGCAGACUCAAAAGUGAUUUUUGGGAGUAAUUGUUAAAAACACCUGUUAAUUAAUUUGAGGAAUAAAAUUUUGUUUAAAAACCCAAAUAUAAAAGCAGUUAACUUCUGGACUUUUUCUCCGUACACCCAUUUAUAAUACAAAUUUUUUUGAAGGAUUAAAUUUCAUAUUUUUAAUAAUUAAGUUUCUCAAACUUGUUUUAUGAAUCAAAAAAUUAAGUCAUGUUUGGUAAUUAUUUUUUAAAAUAGCAUUUUUCUAUUUGCGUUUUCAUUUAUUUUUUGAAAAUUGUUUUAAAAAAUAAUUAUAAUAACAUAAAAAAUAAAUAAAAAUAAAACAUUACAUCUAAAAAUUAUUUUUAAAAUAUAUUUAAAAGUCUAAAAAAUAAAUUUAAAAUAUUUUAAGUACCCAAACAAAAAUUUAUUCUAUAAAAAUAUCAAACAACAGUUUUCCAAUUUAUUAUAAAAACUGUUUUUCAUUUUGGUUUUCAAAUUUAGACACCAGACAAACAGGGUAUUACUUCCUACUCUAAAAAAAAAAAAAAAAAAUUUGUUUUAAGACAGUUCCCAAACAUAUUACUGGACUUCUAGCAUUCCAAAUGAAAAAGCCCACAAAGAGGACUUUGGUUUCUACUGCUGAGGAUUAUCAAAGGGAAAUUGAUUUGCCAUUCUUUUUCAGGUCCCUGAUUCUAAGGGCAUGGUGACCACUACUAGUAGGAAGUUCCUUCUUAUGCCAUCGCCCUUUAAGAUACCGAGAAACUACAAAACUUCAGGCCCCUCAACAUGUUCUCACUAACUACAACUGGAAGGUUAAAAGAAUACACGUACCAAAGAGGUAGAAAUCCAAGCUUUUGUUUGGCAUGCAUUCGUAGAUGAGCAUCUUCUCUUCCCUCUGGGUGCAAAAACCCAAAAGUUUAACAAGAUUCACAUGCUGUAGUGUUGCAGUGAGUGUAACCUCAUUCUUGAACUCCUCAAGCCCUUGAUGAGAAGUUUUUGAAAGUCUCUUCACUGCUAUUUCCUGCCCUUUCGGUAAUUUACCCUACAAAACCACAUCCAUGGUCACCAUUUUCUGCUAAAAAUUAAGCUACAAUUCAGCCCAUUUUAGGUUCAAUUCCUAUGCAAGUAACAAAUGUGUUAUUACUCAACAGAACUCGGCCAUGAUUAGAUCUCAACAGGCUCUGAAUUUGGUUCUGGACAUCAGGUAAACCAGCUGCUACUAACCUUCAAAAAUGUCUUAGUAAAGGAGCUACUACAAAAAGGUUAGACAAAUAAAAUUAGAUUAUUCAUAAUUUUCUGGAAAGCUAAAAAAUGUCUAUAUAGUAAAAGAACCCAAAGAAUUUUUAAUGAGGUUGAUUAUACAUGGGCAGGGUGAAUAUGUAGGCAACUAAAGAUUUUAGACCUUCCAUGUCCCCUGCUAUCCUAUUGUUCCAUGAUUUCAUAUAUAUAAGUUUCUCUUAACCAACUAAACACGUUUUAAAACCGUGAGGACCCUUUCGACCAAAAGCUGAGAGAGGGUUGUUACAAUUGAAAAAAAAAAUUGACAAAAACAAAUAGGGUAUAUUACCAGACAUUACCUUGUAAACAGGUCCAAAUCCACCCUCCCCAAGCCUAUUUUCACUUGAAAAGUUAUUCGUAGCCACUUUAAUGGUACUGAAGCUGAACACUUGCAGAUUAGGAUCAUCACUGUUGGCAGAUGAUAUAUUGCUUCCCAGUUUAAUAGGCAGUGACUUUGGUCUGGUCUGCAUCAUGACUAAGCAAAAAGAGCAAAAGAAAAUAGGAAAAAUGAUACUCAUAAAAAGAUUUGUUAAUCUUGGCAAGAAAUAGUUGGAAAACUUACCUUUUAUAUUGAAUAUUAGUCUCCCUUUCCAUCGAUGACACAUUAUGGAACUUACUAGGAGAACAACUAUAGCAAUUGGAAGCAAAAUAAUUACCAACAAUCGCUGCUUGUUUCCUUCAUCUUGAUCUUCACCUUGAGCUGCAAAAGUAGGAGGCUACAUGAAAACUUUUUUUGCUUUCAGUUUGUUGAACCUCUCAACACUUCAUUAGAUGUCCUUAAUUAUAAUUCUCUGUUGUAGAAAUGCUAAUUAAUAUGCUAUACACUUGAGCAACCAAAGGGUCUUCAGGGAUUGAAUAGAACAAUAUGUGAUAACCUUCAACCAUGUGGAGUCAUUAGAAAUGUCUUCGGAAAAAGAGUGACAGGGUUGAUACAGUAAGCACUAAAAAAUAGUAAUUGGAAGGUAGCUUUCCUUCAAUUUUCUCAAUGAAAGAUGGAUGAAAGAGAGUGAUGUUGUGUGUCAACCAGUUAGGUUCACCAAUCUUCAGUCUGUAAUUCAAAUUAAUGCAGCAGCCUGCAGUCUCAAUCUCUUCUUAAUUUCUUGAUGGCCAAUGAAAGGAAAUUGCUGAAAAAUCAGCAAACCCAAAUUCCAUGAAAAUUCAUUUCUCGGAGAACAGUUUUGAGCAAAUGAAGACUGCACGGAGUUAACCUGGUGUGGACCCGCAUUUUAUCCUAACUCUCUAUUUUUCUAAAGGUCGACCCUGAAGAACCGACAGGGGAGGCUAGUGAAUGCCUAAAUGUUGCCACUAAACUCUCAUCAUGGAGUAUAGGAAAACACUAAGCUAUUCUUUGCACAUGGGCGGCUAGAAAUAUAUGGUGAAAUAUAGAUAGUUGAAUAAAGGUAGAAUUAUAUGAUACCAAGCUAUAAAGGAAUAAAAUUGAAGUACAAUGAGAUAAGAUCAAGAUAAAAAGUAAUGGACCUCGGUAUAGAUGAAUAAGACCAGAGCAUAAAUCAAUAGGACCUGGGUUAGACAGGUAGCAUGAUGGCACAGAGCUGGGUUCAAGUCUUUGAGACCUUCUCCACCUACUUCUAGCACAAAGAAGACAAAGGGAUGACUAUAUGGAAUACAAAUGGCAAACUAUUACCCACCUGCCAGAGACAGCACCCAAUUCUCAUCAUGAGAGACUUCCCACACAUUGUAACCAAGCAGCCCCUUCUCCUUUGCAUAAGAAACCUUAGUUCUUAUAGCCUCAACAUCAUCAUAACCAAUCCAUGUUGCUCCAAAGCUGCAGUAAUUCACUACAUAUGUAGCAUUAUACACAGAAGCACAUUCAUAACUUCGAAUGAACCAUUUGAUGUAUUUAUAGCUCACAGAUCCGUCUGGUGUCAUGGCCAAACCUGAUGCAGGUGCUCCAAUACCAUUUUCCUUGGGGUUCAAGAGUGUCCAUGCAUACCCAUGGUACGCCAAACCCAAAACCAGCUUCCCAGCCGGUAACCCUCUGCCGAUCCAUUCCCCUAUACCAAAAUCAGUAUUAACCCGACUCACUGGGUCGUAUAGAGCAGCAUGGGCAUGUGUGAAGUUCACACUUGAAGGCAGAUAAUAGUCAUAAGCCGCAACAUGAACCCAAUCCAUGUUCCUUCGUAUCGAAUCAACCUCAUAACUCACUGACCCAAGAGUUGGCAAGUAAUGAACUUCCAGUGUCAGAAUCAGUGGUGACUGACUAGGGUCUCUUGACUCAGAAUUUACUGCUGCUCGCCAUUCAUCAAAGAGGAUUCCCAUGUUGAUCGUGUUGGAUACUGUUCUUGGCCAAUAACCACUAAGGUCUAGACCCUGGAACCCAUAGAGCCUAGCUGUUUUUAUUGAAGAUUCAAUGAAGGACUUCCUGUAUGAAGGCUGGCUGAUCAUUGAAGAAAACUUUGUGGAGUCAUUUUUUCCUGCCCAGAUGGAUAGAAGUGUUAUGAUCGAUGGAUUCCUCUUUUUGACUAUGUUGGUGAAGGUCGCGAAGUAUUGUUCAUCAGAGGGGGAGAUAUAGAUCUGGUAGGCAGAAGGGUCGAGCCAAGCAAAAGCACAGAGAAGGUGAGUAAACAAAGCAGAGUUUAUAUCAGGAACUGGGGAUUCAUUACCGGAGUACCAAUAACCUGCUUUGACCCAGGUCUGUGAGUUCGAAAGGCGGAAAUGGAAAGCAAUAAACAAGAGGAGGGCAAUAUUUUUGGAAGCCAUUGAAGAAAGCUAGCUACCCUCAUGCUUGUUAGCAGAUCUUUAAAUAACCUGGGCAAAAGUCCAAUUAACUACCCCACUUAAUGGGACGCAGGUUCCUUAAUUUAUUGGCUGAUGGUUUAGCAGGCUGGAAACUUCACCAACCAAACAGAAGACGAACAAUACAGAAGAGAUAUCUAAAGUCGUUCCUACCUAACCUCAUUUGGCUAAAUAUCUGAAGUCUAGGUUUGAAAUUUCAUAGCCUAACAUAAGACAAAGUCUUGCAUUCUGAUCCUUUCAGAUGCUUGCUCCCAUCUGCUUUUUCUUCCUUCCUCUCAUUUCCCGGAACCUACAAAAGAAUGAAUCUAAUCUUGACCUCUUCUCUUAUAUUUGAAAAGUAGUUAAUAACAUCUGUCGUUUUUAUUCAGUACAAACAAAAUCAAAACAACGUAGUCCGCUUUUCCCUUGAUUUAUGCUAUUUUUCCUUGUUAUUUCAUAAAUAUUAUAUGACAAAAUAUUUUUAUUUCAUUAACAUAUAAUAAUAUUCACAAAAUAAAUAGAUAUUUUAUUCAAUAUUAAUAUACAAAAUCUCUAGUUGUGUUCAGUUCUCCGGAAAUACUAAAAAAAGAAAAAAAAAUACAAAAGAAAAUGAUUUUUUUAUAUUUGAUUAUCCUAUAAAAAAUAUAAAAGAAAAUAAAAUAUAAUUAAAAUUUUAAGUAUAUUUAAAUUAUUUAAUCUUUAUAUCGAUAAGUUAAAAUAAAUAAAAUGAGUUUAAAGUAACAAAUAUAAAUAAUUUAUCGACUUUUAAUCUAUUUUUUAUUUUUCUUUCCUUUUACUUUUUCUUUACAUUUUCUUUCCCUUCCAUUUUCCCUCAGAUUUUUUAGAACCAAACAUAGCUUAUAUAUCACAUACCUUCUAAACCUAUAAAUAAUAAAACAUAAUUUCUUAAUCUAAACUAUAAAAUAUUUAUACUGGUUCAAACCAUUUUUCUACAUGGACAAAGCUAUAGCAGAAGUUGAAGAUGUGCGUGGAAUUUCGCUCCUGUUUCUAGUUCUAAUGAAUCAUAACUAGGUUAUCUAACUGAAAAAAGAGCAUACUUAGUCAAAUCAGUAAUCGAGCGAGGAGCUCCCUAAUUCCUUUUCCUACAUUUCCUGUUCGCCCCCUAUCAAGACCAUUUCAAAUAUCUUAAGAGAAAACAUAAAGAAAUACUUACAGAUAGUACCUUGUAAACAGGCCCAAAUCCACCCUCUCCAAGCUUAUUUUCAAAGGAAAAGUUAUUUGUAGCCUCUUUGAUCUCAGCAAAACUGAAUACUCGCAGAUUAGGAGCAUUACUGUUAAAAUUUUCAACACCUGAUGAUUUGCUUCCUACUUCAUGUAGUGAUAUUUUGCCUAAAUUCCUGGUCCCUGUAACCAGAAUGGGAAAAUUUUGACAAAACAUUAGUCUCUGCAUAUCAUAUAAAAUGGGAAAAAUGUUCUCAUAGUGAACUCUUACGGUUAACUAAAGUUACCUAUUGCUUUGAGUACUCUGCUUUGUGAGUAACAACACAUUAUGGAGCCUGCUACAAGAAUAAGUACAGCAAUUGGAACCAGAAUUUUUACCAAUAAUUCCUGCUUCUUGUGAUGAUCUUUGUCAUCAUCUUGAGCUGUAACAGAAUUGAUCACAUUAAUGGGAAUGAACCAUGAAGAGAUCUUUACCAUCUGCUCUUAUAGAUUCCAAGAUGAUUGUAAUGGGAAAAAUACAAGGAUGUCUUAUUGUUGUUCUCUUUACUCAAAAGGUUACUGCAUUAAGAGAAGCAUCUUAUGAGCAAACCAUGAAGAUCAAUUUUGCCACCCACCAAACCAACACAGACUCUGGUUCAAGUUUCAGGCUGGUCCCUUAAUACCUUCUUGACCAAUUGAUAGAAAGAGAUGAAAAUGACAAAUAAAUCAGAAACCAUUACUAACCUGCCUGAGAAAGUGCCCAAUUGUCGUCAUUGCUAACCUGGAACACAUUGUAACCAAGUAGCUUCUUCUCCUUGGCAUAAGAAAUUUUAGCUCUGAUAGCCUGCACAUCAUCAAAACCAAUCCAAGUUGUUCCAAUAGUGACGUAAUUCACUACAUAAGUAGCAUUGUACAUUGAAGUAGCCCCAUAACUUCGAAGGAACCACUUGAUGUAUUUAUAGCUCAUGGAUCCAUCUGCUGUCAUGGCUAUACCUGAAGCGGGUGCGCCAAUGCCAUUGUGGUUAGGGUUCACAAGUGUCCAUGCAUAUCCAUGGUAAGGCAACCCCAAAACCAGUUUACUAGCAGGGAACCCUUUACUGAUCCAUUCCCUAAUACCAAAAUCAGUGCUAACAUUGCUCAAUGGAUCAUACAGAGCAGCAUGGGCGUGUGUAAAGUUCACCCUUGAAGGCAAAUAAUAGUCAUAUGCUGGAAUAUGUGCCCAAUCCAAGUUCCUCUGUAUUGCCUCAAUGUGGUAGCUCACUGAGUAGAGAGUUGGCACAUAAUGAACAGCCAUAGUCAAUAUCAGUGGUGCCUUACCAGAAUUUCUAGACUCCAAUUUCACAGCUGCUCGCAGCUCAUCCAGGAGGGCUCCCAUAUUCUUCAUAUCAGACUCGGUGUUAGGCCAAAGCCAAAACAGGUCCAGGCCAUGAAACCCGUAAAGUCUAGCUGUUUUCAUGGCGGAUUCAAUGAAAGAUUUUCUGUAAGAGGGCUGCCUAACCAUCAAAGACACCAUGGAAGAGUUCACCCUUUCACCCAAAAUGGACAAACCCGUGGGCCCUUUUCCUCCCCAGAUGGACAGAAGUGUUACAACAGAAGGGUUCCUACGCUUGACUACGUCGGUAAAGGUAGAGAAGUAGUGUUCUUCAGAAGAAGAUAUAGAAAGCUGGUAGGUGGUAGGGUUAAUAUCAGCAAAAGCACAAAGAAGAUGAGUGAACAACCCAGAUUUGAUAUCAGGAAUUGGAGAUUCACUACCGGCAUACCAGUAACCGGCUUUAAUCCAAGUUUCUCCAUGUGAAUAGGGCAAUCCGAAAGCAAGAAAGAAAAGAAGGAAGCUGACAAUUCUGGCUGCCAUGGAAGAAAGCAACCUUAACUAUGAAACUUCAUAGACAUUAAAUAGCGCCAUCUGAACCAAAACACAGGUCUUGCAAAAUUUGUUGGCUGUGGAUUGUAGCGUACUACUGUUAGUAGUUGAAGACUUUUAGGGAACCCUGUAGGUACGGACGCCCUGUAGGAGUGACGCUGGGAUUGAUAGACUAAGAGGAGAGACCAAAAAUCCUAUGGGCCUGUGUGGUUGCUUUGAGAACAGUUUUUAAAAAUAAUUUUUGGUGUUUUUAGAAAAAAAACUGUAUUAGAGAAUUUUGGAAAAUUGUUUUUAUUCUCCAAAACAACAAAAAAAUGUUUGAUUGAGUUAAUAAAUUUUUUUUAGAACAAUUAAAACAAAAAACAUAUUUAAAAGAUGUUUUUUUUUUUGCCCAAUUAAUAAAAUGUUUUCUUCAAGUAACUUUAUAUUAUAAAUUUAUAAAUAAUUUUGAGAUACACAGUUCAUUUAAAUUAAAAAAAUUAUUUAUUUUAUUAAUUUUAAAAUAAAAUUAUUUUUUAUAUUUUUCUAAAAAUAAAUUAAACAUGAUAAAAUCAUUUUUAUUAACUUUUUUUUAUUUAAUCUUUAAUUUUAUUAAAAAUUAUAGUAUAUUUUAUUAAGAUGAGAUAAAAAAUUUAAAAAAGAAUUAAUUUAAUUUUUAUAACUAAUUUUCACCUAACAAGUAAAUAAAAUAAAUAGAACAUGAAAAUAAAUACAAAAAGAGAUGGUCACUUUCCAAGGGACCCACGGGAGACGGUGUUUUGCUUUUACCACCUAAUAUGUUUUGAAAUUUGCACUUUAUGUAUAAUUUUUUUUUAACAACCACAUCCCUUCAAAAUAUCUAUGCAAAUUUCACUAUUAAGAAAAGUGUUUACCCAAUAUUAUUACCUUAUUUACAAAUGACUACCCUUACCCUCAACAGUCUUUCAUCUUCUUCAAAACUUAGAAAAAGUCACUUGCAAAACCCUCUCAAAGCAACUCCUUUUCUUUCUCUUUCAUGUCCUUAAGCAAGUUUUUUGUUUUUUUUUUCUAACAAAACAACUCAAGAAAAAUCAAAACUGAGAAACGGAAAAUAUCAGGAUUUUUUUUUUCUAUUUUCAUUCUCGUUCCCCACUUUUCUCAGCAUCCAAACAGGAAAAUAUAAACAGGAAAAAAAAAAAAAAAAACUAACAACACAUGAUUUAAAAAAAAAAGCUCAGAUCUGAAAAAAAAAAACACGAAAAACAUAUGUUUUCUUUACGACUUUUUUGUUCUGUAAACAGUAAAAAAAAGGGGCAAAACACCAUUUUUUUGUUCUCUAUAAAGUGUCAUUUUGAGAACACGGGAACAAGAAAAACAAAAACAACUUUCUCAACCAAAUAAAUUUUUAGUAUUUUUUGUUUUCAAGAACAAAAAACACCAACCAAACAUGCCUAUAUUUUUCAUGGGAGAAUUGAUGGAAAAUAUGAGUUAUACUUGGCUGUGUUGCAUUGGCCCACUAACCGCCCUAGGGACUGGAGUCUGGGGUAGCGAUUUGGAGUGUGAUCCAGAGAAGUAACCUUGUUUCACAAUGAAAAUUCAGUGAAAAUUUUCAUCUCCUACCAUGUUCUUAGUGAUUAAUUUUAACCAUCAGAAUUUUCCAAUUCCUUUUGGAAUAUGUUUUUUUAUUUCAUAUGGGAAAAUUAUAAGGUUGGAAUAUGUUUUUUUUUUUUCAAUUUGCUGAAGAUGUCAAUAAGGCCAAUUUUUGUUUUUAUUCCAAUUUCCUUCUCUCGUUAGGGGCCACAUGGCAGCAGGCGAGAGGGCGGAGAGAGCCAGCUAGUACCGUCGAAUUUGGGCCGGUUAUUGCCCCACCAUUGGGGGCUUCUCUGGACCAUUGGGCUAAAGACCCUAACAAUGACAACUCGUAUUUGUUUCAAGGCUACCCCUGAACUAAACUGCUGGCUCCGCCACCGGUGGCGGAGACCCCCCCCCUUCCAACCCCACCUAAAAUUCUGACAGUUCCUCGUGUCAAACUCAAAAACCCCGUUCCAUCAUUCUCAAAAACCCCGUUUUGCAUUUCACAUGACUGUAAACAACCAAAUAUAUCCUAAAGAGUUCAACCCUCUCUCUCGGGGACUGAUAUAAGAUUGGGUUUUGGAGAGUCAAGUAUUCCAUAUUAACGAUCUUCAAUCCCUCGAUUUAUCAAGAUUAAUAAUAUCUUCUAUGAGGAUCUCAAGAGGCCUCUCUCUUUGAUUUUUUUCUAGCACAAAAGAACAAAACCUUAGACCAUUUGUGAGACAAUCCCAUUGAUGACAGGAACUUCUCUGAAAAAUCUUUCAUAAGAAAAUUCUUCAUCAAAUACAAAAACUCUAGGAAAUUCAAGUUUCAUUUUUACCAACCUUUUUCUCAGCACACCAAACAGAUCGUGUAGAAAUAGCCCACUCCAAGGGGGGGAAAAAAGAUGUAAUGGCGUUUGGAGGCGGGUUCGUGGAUAGGUAAAAUGGGGAGCUAGGGGAGGAAAAAACACAUCCCGUAGACAACCCAAGAAGCACAAAACCCGUACUAUGAUGCCAUCAUUUUCCCGAGAAAACACGGGAAAAUUUGUUGUGUAGGGCCGGAAUAGCAGGGCACCCUGUAGAGAACCUACAAGUUUUUCAGAGCCACAGAAUGAAAUGACUCUGCCCUUUUGCAUUCAGCCCUUGCAGCCAUUCAACAAAACUGAAACCCUAAAUCUUCGCCAAAAAAUCUCAAAAAGUAACAAAUCUUCGUAGUAAGUCUUCACAAAAGAAGCUCACAGACCCUAUUCCUAACCCUAUUAGGUGAGAGACUGAGAGAGGCUCUCCUGAGAGUUGUGCCCUAUAUCCGGAGACGGAGCCAGAUAUAAAGGGUUCCGAUCUGGAGGCUAAAUGGGACUAAAGAAUGAGGCCCGGCCCAUCGUCUUAGUCUCCACGUCCAUCGACUAUUGAAGAUGCCAUAUAUCUCAUUAACACAUGAACACCAUCUUAUCAUCCAUGGUUUCUUUAUUGAAAUAUGCUUUUUCAAUAUCCAUUGAACACCACCCAUCAAGUGGUGCUAUAUAUAUAAUUCAGUUCUUAUUAUUUUUUACCUGAAUCUUAUUUAUCUGUAUCACGUAUAGCCUUUCAUUAUUUUUGUAUCUUGAUUUCAUCUUAGUACACAUUGGUUUCAAUAAUUUAUACUCCUAAUCUACAACAUUUUUUGCCACUUUGAAAUGUGUCUCUUGAAAAUACACCUUCCAUUAUUUUUAUAUCAAUGAUACACGUUCAAAAUAAAUGAAUUUAUAUUGAAGGUAUCUCUUCAAGAAACACAUUUCACAAUUUUUAUAUCCAUAAAGCACGUUAAAAAAAAUUGAAUUUACAUUAAAAAUAUAUUUUUUUAAAAACACCUUUUAUAAUUCUAUAAAAUUGAAUUUAUAUUAAAAAUGUCUCUUAAAAAGACACUUUUUACAAUUUUCAUAUUAGUUGCAUAGUGAAAAAAUUGAAUUUAUAUUAAAGAUGUCUCUUUAAGAGACACCUUCUAUGAUUUUAUAAAAUUAAAUUAUAUUAAAGAUGUUUUUUGAAGAGACACUUUCAACAAUCCUCGUAUUAGUUAUCCAUUGAAAUAAUCCAAUUUAUACUAAAGGCGUCUUUUGAAAAGACUCCUUCCACAAUUCCACAAUUAAAUUUACAUUAAAAGGUUUUCCUUCAAGAGACUUUUAAAAUAAAUUUAAUUUUUUUCAUAGGUAAUUAAUAUAAAAAUUAUGGAAGAUGUUUUUUCAAAAGGCACAUUUUAUCUAAAUUCAAUUUUGUGGAAUUGCAGACACGUCUUUAAUGUAAAUUCUUUAUAUAUAUGAAAAUUGUGGAAGAUCUCUCUUCAAAAAACACAUUAUUUUCAUCAUUUUAUUUAAAGCCUCAAUUGACAACCGAUGCUUCAUUUUUGAACUGAAGCCGCAGUUGCCAAUUAAGGCUUCAUUUUUAAAUUGAAGCCUCGAUUGGCAACUGAGACUUUAUUUUUGAACUAAAGCCGUAGUUGCCAAUUGAGGUUUCAUUUUUGAACUAAAGUUGCAGUUGCCAACUGAGGCUUCAUUUUUAAAUUGAAUCCUCAGUUGGUAAUUGAGACUUCAUUUUUGAAUUAAAGCCGCAGUUACCAACUGAUGUUUCAUUUUUGAACUAAAAUCAUAGUUGCCAACUGAGGCUUUAGUUAAUUUUUUUUAAAUUAAAAAUUAUUAAAUUACAAUUUAUGAUUGAAAUUUAAAAAAUAUACUUAAAUAAUAAAUUAUUUAUAUUUAAACUUAAGAAUCUAAUAUUACUUCAACAAACAUAAAUUGAUAAAUAGAAGAUAUUAUAAAUGAAUAUUUUAUUUAUUAAUAAAUUAAUAAUCUUAAAAUAAUAAACUUAUAUAACAUAUAAAUAAUUAUGGACCCCGCAUUUCGGCUCAAUGCGUUUCCCACUCGAUGGCGAGCUCGAUUUUUAUUGAAAAAUUUGAUUUUUAUUUGAUUAAGAAAAAUGACUUGGAGUCGCCACUUAUUUUUGUUUUAUUUUUAAAGGGUAAACAAAAUAAGAAAGAAAACCCUAAGUGUGACUCCUUAUUUUGGAAAAGGUGAUUUGCGAAAAACCGGAUCGGGUUCGGGGGUCAGGUUACUUAUCAGGAAGGUACGGUAAAAACCGUAGCACCCUUCUAAGUCCCUAAAAACGGGUCUCUACUAGUAAAAUGAAGCUGAUGUGGCAAUUGAUGAGUAAAUCAAUGAAUAUCCUGAAUGAUCAUGCACACAUAAGAAUCGAGACAUGCAUAUAGAAAGACCAGAAAGGGAGUGGAUGCACACCUGGGAGGUAAUCCAUAAAGCGCUAUUAAGAAGUGAAGUUAGCGCACAAUUAAGGAAUAAUUUCAAGCAUGUCAUAGAGCAGAAUAAAAUCGAUCAUGUAUGGCAAUUAAAUCAAACAAUCAAUCAAUCAUAAGGAGAUCACAUAUGUUGGGCCACCACCAAAGCCCGAUUUAUAUUGCACGAAUUAAUCUCACAAAUUCCAUUAUUCUGAAAUCGUGAAAAUGAUAUUCAUGCUUAUGCGAAAUUAAGAGAAACAGAAGAUUAUUUGAAACCCGAAGGGAAUUAAAACCGUUAGAGAGAAAAUUGGAUUUUCGAAAUUUAUUUGAAAAUUGGAGUCUUGGGAAUUAAAUUUAAGAAUUUGAAUUUUGGAGAUUAAAUUUGAAAGAAAUUGGAAUUUUUAAAAUGAUUUGAGAAUUGGAGUCAUGAAAAUUAAAUUUAAGAAUUGGAAAAGAAAUUGGAAUUUUUAAAAGGAUUUGAGAAUUGGUGUCUUGAAAAUUAAAUUUAAGAAUUGGAACUUUGGAAAUUAAAUUUUAAAGAAAUUGGAAAUCAGAAUUUUAAAGAAUUAUUUAAAAAUUGGAUUUUUUAAAAUAAAUAAAUAAAUAAAUAAAAUAAUAAUAAUAAUGAAAAUAAUAAUGAAAAUAAUAAUUAAAUUAAUAAACGGGAAUAUUGGAAUUUUUGAAAUUGAAAAUUAAAUUUGGAAAUCAGAAUUUUGAAGAAUUAGACUUAAAAUGGGGUUUUGAAAUAAAUAAAUAAAAUGUUAAUGAUUAGAUAAAUUAAUGGGAAUAUGGGAACUUUCGGGAUUAGGAAUUUAAUUCGAAAAUCAGAAGUUUUAAAGAAUUUGAUUUAAAAUGGAGUUUUGAAAUAAAUAAAUAAAAUGCUAAUGAUUAAAUAAAAUAGUGGGAAUAUUGGGAAUUUACGGGAUUAGGGAUCUAAUUCGGAAAUCAGAAGUUUUAAAGAAUUUGAUUUAAAACGAAGUUUUAAAAUAAAUAAAUAAUUGGAAUAAUAGUAAUACCUAAAAAAAAAACAAAUUCGGAGAUCGGGAUGCCGAAGAAUUGUUUGAGAACAGUACGUAAGAAAAAAAAAAACUAAAUUUUGAAGGAAUUAUUUUUGGCAUGAAAUUUUUAAAUACAUGGAAAGAAAAUAAACAAAUAAGUAAAUACUCUUAAAAGGAUGACACGCGCCCUGAGAGAAAGUGGUCAUGCAUAGCUGAGCCAAACACAUACUUUAUGUACACCAUUAAAUUCAAGUCAAGUGUUGAGAUAUUAUGAUAUAUUCUAGGAAAGUAGUUGCUAUUGUUUAGGAUUGUUUCCUAAACUCACGGCAUUGUUUAGGAAUGUUUCCUAAACUCACGGUUUUCCCUUAAUUAGGUUUGCUUGAUGUACUAUAUAUUUACAUGGAUGAAUAUCAAUUAGGGUUAAGCUUUGACCCUUUAAUCACACUUUACAUGGUAUCAGAGCACUGACAUGCACACACAAUAAAACAAUGGCCGGCGACGAUGAACAACCACCAUUGCCGCCACCUAAAAGGGAGAUGAAUUCACCUUUUUUUCUCGGCACAGGAGACCAACCAGGCGACUUCAUCACUCCCACUCGCUUACGCGGCGACAAUUACGAUGAUUGGGCUUCCGAUAUUCAGUUGGCAUUGGAGGCACGCCGCAAGUUCGAAUUUUUGGAAGGCACUAUCACCGGACCACAACCUCCAUAUACCCAAUCUGAUUGGAACACCGUCAAUGCAAUGUUGGUUUCUUGGAUUACAAACACAAUCGAUCCCGAGGUAAAGAGUACCCUAUCUAAAUUUCGUGAUGCAGAACGCUUAUGGGAGCAUCUUAAGCAACGAUAUGCUAUGGUUAAUGGCCCAAGAAUUCAACAGUUAAAGACUUCAAUUGCUAAGUGUGAGCAAUCGAAAUCUAUGUCUGUUACAACUUACUAUGGCAAAUUGAAUGUAUUAUGGGAGGAAUUAUUUAAGCAUGAACCGCUAAUUUCUUGCACUUGUUGUUCGUCUUGUACUGCCGCAUCAUUGCACCAAGCAAGACGUGAACAAGGAAAAUUACAUGACUUCUUGAUGGGACUCAACACUGAUCUGUACGCUCAAUUACGAACCAAUAUCCUUUCUCAAGAUCCCUUGCCUUCGCUUGAUCGAGCGUACCAACUGGUGAUACAAGAUGAGCGUGUGCGGCUCGCCAAGGCAGUCACAGAAGACAAGCCAGCAGAGGUCCUUAGCUUUGCUGUCCGUACAGGUGCUGGAAGAGGACGAGGAAAAACGGAAAGGCCUGUGUGUAGCCACUGCAAGAAGACGGGGCAUGAGACUUCAACUUGCUGGUCCCUCGUUGCUUGUCCUCACUGUCACAAGCAUGGCCAUGACAAAAAUAAUUGUUAUGAAAUAGUGGGUUAUCCUGAGGGGUGGUUGGAUCAAAACAAGGCUGAUGGGGCUGCUGGACGUAGUCGUCAGCAGGCUGGUCGUGGGCGUGGUUCAGCUCGUGCUAACGCGGCAAGUAGCACAAUUGGAGCAUCCUCUACUAAAAGUUCUACCGAUCAACUCUUCACACCCGAACAAUGGAAAGCUCUUGCGGGCUUAAUUGGUAAUGCUCAAGUUCCGGAUGACAGGUUGAAUGGUAAGUUUGACACGAAGUCAUGGAUCAUUGACACCGGGGCAACUCAUCACGUGACCGGUGAUUUAUCUUGGUUAUUUGAUACUAUAGCGUUGUUUGAGUGUCCGGUUGGCCUUCCUAAUGGUGAAUCUGUUGUUGCGACCCAAUCCGGUUCUGUUCGUUUGUCGAAUAACAUCACUCUUAAAAACGUUCUUUAUGUGCCGAAACUCAAUUGCAAUUUACUUUCGGUUUCACAAUUGACUGAUGACUUACAUUGUAUUGUCCAAUUUAACUCUUAUAUGUAUGCUAUACAGGACCACACCAGGGAGCUGAUUGGAACGGGAGUUAGGCGAGAUGGACUUUACUACUUCGGUGGAGCUGAAGGUGAUUCGGUACAACAUGUUUCUGUCCACAACGCAGCCUCCACUUUGGAGUUACAUCAAGCCUCUGCCAACAUCAUCAUUUUUUUUUUAAAGCACUGACACUACCCAUUUUCACUCAAAGCAUCCAACACCAUAUAGAAAGCAAAUACACCCAUGCUAAUCUCGGAACCCUUUCCAUCUACCUUCUGCAUAACAUUGCAUCGCCUUCGUCUCCGUGCCCCUCAAAGAACGCUCCUUCAUCAGACUCCCUUCCACAGCCAGUCCCGCGCACAGUACUUCAAACAACACCACUCCGAAAUCAGCAAAUUUGGCCACCCGUUUCUCAUCUAACGAAAUAUCUGUGGUCUUGAUGUCCUAGUGAAUGAUUUCGCAUUCCGAGCCUUGAUGUAGAUGCUUCAGUCCCCGAGCAGCACCGAUACCGAUCUCAAGCCAUUGCUUCCAUGUCAAUAAAACCUUAUUUGUUUUAUAAAAACGAUCACGUAAGCUUCCUUGGGCAACGUUCGUAUAUGAGGAUCCUUACUUGGGGAUGGUCGCAACAGCCUAUAAGAGGGACUAGAUGGAGAUUGUGGAACCUCGACGGCCAGAACUCAUGGUUCUUCCCCGCUGAUGAUACCAUCGUCAAACGGAGUUGAGGAGGCGGUAUAGACAGUGGCAUUGCUAGUGGUCCGCGUGAAGGUUGGCAUUUCUGGUGUCAUUCCGGCGGUGUGGUAACCAUGCAAGCUAUGGGCAGCGGCUGUGGCGUCAUGGAGCUAUGGGAUGGUGAACAAUGGCUAGUCCAAGGCGGUUUCAUGGAGAUACAAAGGUGGUGGCUCAACUAUGAGGGAUGCGGCAGCGUUGUAACGUGGAGAUGGCGACUCCAAUGGCUAUGUAGUAAUGUAGGCGAGGAAAGACUACGUGGUCAGUGGCCGGCAAUGGCGAAGGCGAGCUGAGAGCAAGGGCGGCCUUCCAUGAGAAUGGAGGAGGGAAAAAGUGGAGAUGAAUGAAAAGACAAUGAAGAGAAUGGUGAGAAAAAGAAAAACAAAGUAGUGGCGGCUGUGUGAGGAGUCAUUUCAUAAACUGGGACUACAGGGUUGAUAGACGGAUUCUUCAAACUGAAAGAAGAUAAACAACUCUAAAAUUCAAGUCCCUAUUCGAUUCCCGCGGACUAACAGUGAACUCACCAACUCAAAAUGACGUAUAUGAAGGAAGAAGGAACAGAGAUUGAAAUGGUGUAAAAUGUUCAAAAGGAAACAAACGGGAGAAAACAAAUAGCAAAUAUAUUGAGCCUCUUUCCAAGCAUUAAUCCCUGGGCUAUGAACCAGGUAAAAUAUAUAUAUAUAUAUAUAUAUAAAGAACAUCAACAUGAUCCAUACAAACCCAUAUACGUAAUAUUCUCGAAUGAAAUCCAAGAGAGUGAAAGAAUAGCAUAGCAAACACGUCUCUUUAAUGAACGAAAACUACAUAAAAAAAAUGAGUGAAGAAGCAAAUGCGAUAGGGGAAUAUGAAUCAAAAGUCUAUAAUACUCGUACCUGAGAGCACUCCUCCCCGAUGAAGCUCACUUAUCUUACCGCCCUCACUGCCUCCUCUACCAGCCAGAUUUUGAAAGCUCCUCUGCUUUCUCCCCUUGCUCCUCUGGUAACUCUCUCUCCCUCUCUCGUCCUCUCUCACACCCUCCACAGUUGUCUUUUUCUCCCAGAUAUUUUUUCCUUUUCCCGUCUUUUCUUUUCACAGCCCUCACCUCCUCUCUGCCUUCUGUCUAAUCUGGCCGCCUCCAUCAGCUUAAUUCCCGGGGUGGUCAAGAGGGUCAUCAUGAUACAAAAAAUCCACCCCAAAAACUUUUAUCGGGAGGGGGUAAUAUAUAAAAUUGUAUAAUUUAUUAAUUUAAGAUAUUUAAUUUGUUGUUUUUUAAGAUAUUAAAUUAUUUGUAUUAUGAUAAAUUUAUCUUUAUUGAAAUAAUAGUAUACUUUUAAGCCAUAGUUGCUAACUGAGAUUUCAAUUAUAAUUUUUUUUACUUUCAAAUUUAAUUAAAAACUAUUAAAUUAAAAUUUAUUAUUGAAAUUAAAAAUAUAUACUUUAAUAAUAAUUAUUUAUAUUUAAACUAUUAUUUCGAUAAAGAUAAAUUUGUCAUAAUACAAAUAAAUUAAUAUAUUAAAAAACAACAAAUUAAAUAUCUUAAAUUAAUAAAUUAUACAAUUUUAUAUAUUAUUUAUAUGUUAUAUAAGUUUAUUAUUUUAAGAUUAUUAAUUUAUUAAUAAAUAAAAUAUUCAUUUAUAAUAUCUUUUAUUUAUCAAUUAUGUUUGUUGAAGUAAUACUAGAUUCUUAAGUUUAAAUAUAAAUAAUUUAUUAUUAAAGUAUAUAUUUUUAAUUUCAAUAAUAAAUUAUAAUUUAAUAGUUUUUAAUUAAAUUUGAAAGUAAAAAAAAAAUUAUAAUUGAAAUAUCAGUUAGCAAUUGUGGCUUAAAAGUAUAUUAUUAUUUUGAUAAAGAUAAAUUUGUCAUAAUACAAAUAAAUUAAUAUAUUAAAAAAUAAUAAAUUAAAUAUCUUAAAUUAAUAAAUAAUACAAUUUUAUAUAUUAUUUAUAUGUUAUAUAAGUUUAUUAUUUUAAGAUUAUUAAUUUAUUAAUAAAUAAAAUAUUCAUUUAUAAUAUCUUCUAUUUAUCAAUUUAUGUUUGUUGAAGUAAUACUAAAUUCUUAAAUUUAAAUAUAAAUAAUUUAUUAUUUAAGUAUAUUUUUUAAAUUUCAAUCAUAAAUUAUAAUUUAAUAAUUUUUAAUUUAAAAAAAAAAAACUAAAGUCUCAGUUGACAACUGCAACUUUAGUUGAAAAAUGAAGUCUCAAUUGACAACUACGACUUUAGUUCAAAAAUAAAGUUUCAGUUGUCAAUUGAGACUUUAGUUUAAAAAUGAAACCUCAGUUGAUAAUUACGGUUUUAAUUAAAAAAUAAAGUCUCAGUUGUCAAUUGAGAUUUUACUAAAUUGGUGAAAAAAAUAUAUUUUUUAAUGAUAUGAUGCUUACGUGACAUCGAAGAGACCAAUUUGAACAUAAAUUUCAAAAAAUAGUUAGAUGUUAUAUAUUUUUUAAUAAAUAGGUAAUUUUGACCCAAAACUCCGUUCUACUAGUCUACGUGAAAGAUACUUUUAUUGGGAACGUCAUAUACAGAGGAAAAAGAAUCUUUUUAUUAAUUAAAAUAUCAGGAAAAUGGGAACGUCAUACACACACAAUUUAUGUUUGACGUGCUCAUUUUGAUUUGUCCAAGAACAUGCAUGAUUAAAAAGAGGGACGUAGAGAGAGAAUUUGUGAUAACAAUGGAUGACUCAUGUGACUUCAAAAAAGCACAUGAAAUGUGACGUACAGUUAGCAUUAUCUAGACAUCAAUGUGAAGGAAAAAUCACAGGCUAUAGUCUCCUUGAAUCUUUCGCAACUAAAAAUUAAUGGAACACAAUGAAUUUAUUUAUUUAUUUCUUUUUCAAUCAAGUGAAAGGUCCCAGAACCUCCACCAGAGAGCAUCCAGUUGGGUUGUGUACGUCUGCUCCCUUGCGACAUCAUGAGCUAAUUAACAGAGCAGGUGGCCGUGUUCAAUGCAAGUCCAGCAUUUUCUAAGGUCCCACAAUAGAUGAGAAGUUCAUGAGAAUUAGUCCAACCCUAUCCUUACGCCUUUUGAAUUCCCAAUUCCACCUCGGGUUUCCCGGAAAAUCAUAUAUUACUGACAAGUGACAAUAAAUAAGUAAUAAACAUUUACAAUCUUAUCGGGAGGCUAAUAACAACAACACAUGAUACCCAAAAUCACAAGUUAUCAUUUCUUCAUAUUAGGACAGUCUGCACCAUCACCGUGGUACCAAAUCAGAAAUGGUGGCAUCAUUGACUGAUAAUAUAUUUUGCUGCGAAGAAGUGGUGGCAUCAUUGACUGAUAAUUUAUCUUCAUUACUUUUGAUUGAAAAAGCAGGCCUUAAAGGGGCAGGCAUGGCUGCAGUUUCGCUUUUGAGCAUUGAAGACACUUCCAACAUUGUUGGUCUGUGGUCCGGAUUUUCUUGGAUGCAUAACAGAGCUACUUGCAUGCAUGCCAUGAGUUUACAAGACGAAGAUGAGUCAUCUAGUGAUGGGUCCAUAAACCUCAUGCCUUCUCCCUCUUUCCACAACUCGUAUGCCUGCAACAGUUUGGUAUCAUCAUCUGUUAUAAUGAUUUAAAUCUCGUACAACAAUGGUGGAAAUUUUCAGUAAAGUGACUUACAUAUUCUAGAAGGUUUAGGUUUUGGCUCAAGCCAUAUGUGCAUGAAUUCCUCCUGCUACUAAUUAUCUGCAGGAGUAGAACUCCGAAGCUAUAAACAUCAUAUUUCAUGGAGUAUAUCCCUCUUCGAACGUAUUCAGGAGGAACGUAGCCACUGCAUGGAUCAUCCAAAAAUACAAGUACUUAAGAAAUUAAGAUGAAUCAUGUUAUACCACUGAAAGUUGAGGUGAGAGGGCUUAGUGACUUACUACGUUCCUACAAUCCGGCCUGUGCUUGCCUCAUGUUCAUCCUUUUGGAAAGCUCUAGCUAUGCCAAAAUCUGAAAUCUUGGGCUUCAUCUCGCUGUCCAGUAAAAUGUUGCUAGCUUUCAAAUCCCGGUGAAUUAUAGUGAAGUUGGAGUAUUCUUGGAGGUAGAGAAGUCCUUGAAUAAUCCCUUCAAUGAUGGCGAUGCGCUUUGUCCAAUCUAAAAAAUAGCGCCUAGUAAGAUCUAAAACAAAUGAUGGAUCAGUUAAGAAUACUUCAACUAUAAUGCAUAGAAAAAAAGGAGCACAAUGGACAAGUGGAAAUUAAGGAAAAUCUUGUUAACUAUAGUUGGAGCAGAAAAGGUUGCAGACCAAACAGAUAGAAAUCCAGGCUUUUGUUGGGCAUGUACUCAUAGAUCAACAUCUUUUCUUCUCCUUCCGUGCAAAAUCCCUGAAGCCUAACUAGAUUUACAUGUUGCAGUUUGGCUGUAAGUGUAACCUCAUUUAUGAACUCCUCUGCUCCCUGAUUAGAAGUUUUCGAAAGCCUCUUCACUGCCAUUUCCUCUCCCUUCUGUGAUUUACCCUAACAAAAUCAGCACCCAUGGUUAGUAGUGCUAGUAUGCAUACAUGGGAGCAUGAAUGGACAUGCUUAAUCUACUUUCACUUUGCGAUGCAGUCAGCUUGGGCUAAUAUGUUCUCAAUCAGCACCUCAAUUUUCCGCGUUUUCUUCUUUUCUUUCCGUUAUCCUUGAAAGAGUUGGCAGAGGGGUAAUAGUGCAGGUCAUGGCCUAGGGUGAUGACUUGCUCUGUGGCUCACUCUGUUUGACUGGUUCAAACCAUUUUUCUACAUGGACAAAGCUAUAGCAGAAGUUGAAGAUGUGCGUGGAAUUUCGCUCCUGUUUCUAGUUCUAAU
rnacentral:lncRNA from 1 species